CCUUGCCUUGAAAACUGCAGGGACCCGUCCAGGCAGUUGCCACAGAAUCACCCACGAUUGUGUGCAGAUAAAAAAAACACCACAGUGCUUUAUUACACCGUGCACCUUCCCCAAUAACAGACUAUUGCUCUCUACCCUUCUAGGACUUACAAGGUGAUGCUGCUGCUGUGUAAAUAUGUCUUUAACACUCAGUCUUUUAAUACUUAGCUCAAGCAAAAGUCUGUAAGUCGGUUGUUUUUCUUCUAGUUGGUGCUGAGCUCCAAGCUCCAGGCAGGACUCCCCCCAGGAUAGGCUGCUGCCGCCGGCCACAACUUGUGGUCCUGGCUGUUGAAUGAUGCUCCUCUUGCCUGCUGGCGACAGCCGCCAGUCUCCAGAUGUGGCCUCCGCUUCCCCUUUGCUCAUCUCCUGUUUUCCCACACGCACGCACACCCCACUCUGUCCUAGCCUUUGCUUUGGCAAGCUAAGAGCCUGGGUGGGGUGAGGCUGCCUCUGGACGUGGCUGGCUGGGGGAUUCUGGGAGUUGAAGUCUACUGAGUUGCUGAGGUUGAGGAACCCUGGUCUAAUGUCCCUGAGUUUCUGACAAAACUUCAUCUGGUAAGAGAAAGAAUAGCUUAGCUCAAAGGAAGGAAAACAAAAAAGCAUCAUGGAAAAAGUUAAAAUUUGUGUAACUUAGCCACUUUAUUGGAUUUUUCUGAAAUUUGCCCAGGUUUGUUUGGCGUUUAUAUGGAAUAAAAUAGUGACAGAUGUCUCCAUAGCUUUUUGCAGGUACUUCCAAUUAUGAACUACAAUGAACGUGAAUGGCAAAAGAUGAGAAAAUCAGCCAGAGAGCCAUAAUGACGUUUGCUUGGCUGGGGGAAUUUAGGGAGUUGAAGUCCCCACAUCUUAAAGUUGCCAAGUUUGAGAAACAUUGAUUUAGCUUGUUGUGUGAAUCUAGCUGAUUAUAGUUUAUUCAGUAAAUCAUGAUUAAGCAAGCUAUAGCAUAGUGUGAUGAAUAAUUCCAGUUGUUUAGCCAGCCCGAUCAAGGGAGAUGAAUUCUGGGAAAUAACUGUCCCCACUUCCAAAGUUUCUUGCAGGGAACCCAGCACAAAUCAUCCUCCUUGGGCAAUUCUCGAGAAAUUGGCUGCAGAGUGAAAAUCCACAUUUUAUGGCCCUAUGUAGGACUAUUAGUCCUAAUCAAUUUAAGGGCAGGUUUCUGCAAAAAAGGAAGAAGUGAGUUGGGUCUCCCCCCUCAGGAAGGCAUGGAGUGAAUCCAACCGGAGACGAGGGAGAGCCCACAUUCGCUCCUGCAUCGUGGCGUUUCCCUGCCCUGAUUGUGUCUUCCGAGAGCCGCCAGCUGGCCUGGUUUAGGGUGACCCCCUGGUCACCAUCCUGGGGAAGGAAGGACCAAGGGACCCUCCAGAGGCUGCGGGGAAGAGGUUUUAUGCCAUCUGGCAGAUAAAGUUGCUCGGCAGGUCCAGAUGAGUUGCCCGUGGCAGUCUUGUGAUAUUCCGCGACUCCUGAUGAGGCGGGCAGGUCUUCCAUGUGGCGGAUUAUGCCCGUGGGACAUCUUUGCUCCAUGAGCUGGACUGGUUGCCGGUUGGCUUCCAGGCGCAGUUCAAGCUGCUGGUUGUCACCUAUAAAGCCCGUCAUGGCACGGGGCCGGGUCGCUGGCGGCAUCCCCUGUCUCCGGUCGCUUCCAGCCAAGAUUUGGCAUUGAACGCGUUGCUGGAUGUCCGACUGCCACAGGACCACAUUACUACAUCCUCUCCCUCCCCUCCCAGCCACCAAACCUGCCUGGGCAAAAAAACCCAACUGAUAGAGUUGGAAAGUAGGACACCAGGUGAUCCUCCUUUUCUGCACCAUGAAGGAAAACAUUUGGUUUCCGAGGAUGAUGUAUCCAACAGCUUGGCGCAGCUCUCCAGCUACUCUGGUUUCCAUGUUAGAGGACACCCACCCAGUGCUUGGAGGAGUCCUAAACCCCAGUUAGGGAUUGCUUUACAUGUUCAUGUUCCUGCUGAUGUUCGUUCUUAAUGUUACUCUGUAGUUCCUUUGAAGGCAUAACAGAGGGGAAUAAAUAACCCACAUUCAAGGGAAGGUGUGUCUAGGCGAGACAAAGGGCACAAUCAUUUCAGUUUGCAGCUAGUCCAGACCAGGACCCUUAUGUCACCCACUAGUCACCCGGUGGUCUGCCAACAUUCCCUCUGGGUGGCCAAGCCCCCUUCCCAUUUCCUGAGCAGCAAAGAGGUUGCUGAAAGGCUCUGCUCAUACCGUAUGUUUAACCUGGUUACUGAAUAAACCCAUUUUCUGGGUGCCAUAAAGCACCAAAUCAUAAGGCAGAAUGCAGAGGAAUCUGGGAGAGAGGGGGAAGAGGCAUUGGGAGGCAAUGGGCUCCAGGGUCCGAGGAAACUGGCGCACAAAUGCCAUCUUUGGCAACAUUUUGCAGGGUGUCGGGCAUGGCAAUUCAGAGGCACAGCCUGGGGGCUUGCUUGUGAGUAACAGGCAUUUACACAAUGCACUCGGCCUCGUCAGCUAAAAAACAGGCAGGUGCAUCUAGGAAUUGCAUCUUAGCAAACUGGGCCCUUUGCAUGAGCCCAGAGU